UCAAGUGAAUAAGCGUACACGGUGGAUGCCUUGGCAGCCAGAGGCGAUGAAGGACGUAGUAGCCUGCGAUAAGCUUCGGGGAGUCGGCAAACAGACUUUGAUCCGGAGAUUUCCGAAUGGGGAAACCCACCUGUCAUAAGGCAGGUAUCACAUACUGAAUACAUAGGUAUGUGAGGCGAACGCGGGGAACUGAAACAUCUAAGUACCCGUAGGAACAGAAAUCAAUUGAGAUUCCGUCAGUAGCGGCGAGCGAACGCGGAUUAGCCCUUAAGCUUGUGAAUGAUUAGGAGAACGGUCUGGGAAGGCCGGCCAUAGUGGGUGAUAGCCCCGUAUCCGAAAAUCUGAUCAAGUGAAAUCGAGUAGGUCGGAGCACGUGAAACUUUGACUGAAUGUGGGGGGACCAUCCUCCAAGGCUAAAUACUCCUGGCUGACCGAUAGUGAACCAGUACCGUGAGGGAAAGGCGAAAAGAACCCCGGAGAGGGGAGUGAAAUAGAACCUGAAACCGUGUACGUACAAGCAGUCGGAGCCCUCUUGUGGGGUGACGGCGUACCUUUUGUAUAAUGGGUCAGCGACUUAAUUUCAGUAGCGAGGUUAACCGUUUAGGGGAGCCGUAGGGAAACCGAGUCUUAAUAGGGCGUAUAGUUGCUGGGAUUAGACCCGAAACCGGGCGAUCUAUCCAUGGGCAGGUUGAAGAUGCGGUAACACGCAUUGGAGGACCGAACCGACUACCGUUGAAAAGUUAGCGGAUGACCUGUGGAUCGGAGUGAAAGGCUAAUCAAGCUCGGAGAUAGCUGGUUCUCCCCGAAAGCUAUUUAGGUAGCGCCUCGGACGAAUACCACUGGGGGUAGAGCACUGUUUCGGCUAGGGGGUCAUCCCGACUUACCAAACCGAUGCAAACUCCGAAUACCAGUGAGUACUAUCCGGGAGACACACGGCGGGUGCUAACGUCCGUCGUGAAGAGGGAAACAACCCAGACCGCCAGCUAAGGUCCCAAAAUAUUGCUAAGUGGGAAACGAUGUGGGAAGGCAUAGACAGCUAGGAGGUUGGCUUAGAAGCAGCCACCCUUUAAAGAAAGCGUAAUAGCUCACUAGUCGAGUCGGCCUGCGCGGAAGAUGUAACGGGGCUCAAACUGGAUACCGAAGCUGCGGCUGCAUACUAUGUAUGCGGGGUAGGGGAGCGUUGUGUAAGUCUGUGAAGGUGUGUUGAGAAGCAUGCUGGAGAUAUCACAAGUGCGAAUGCUGACGUGAGUAACGAUAAUGGGAGUGAAAAACUCCCACGCCGAAAGACCAAGGUUUCCUGCGCAACGCUAAUCGGCGCAGGGUGAGUCGGCCCCUAAGGCGAGGCAGAAAUGCGUAGCUGAUGGGAAACAGGUUAAUAUUCCUGUACUUCUUAUAACUGCGAUGGAGAGACGGAGAAGGCUAUGCCUACCGGGCGUUGGUUGUCCCGGGGAAAGGCUGUAGGCUGAGGUGUUAGGCAAAUCCGGCACCUUAAGGCUGAGAGUCGAGACCACUGGUCCUUUGUGACCGGGAAGUGGUUGAUGCCAUGCUUCCAGGAAAAUCUUCUAAGCUUCAGGUUAUAAGGAACCGUACCCCAAACCGACACAGGUGGUUGGGAUGAGUAUUCUAAGGCGCUUGAGAGAACUCGGGUGAAGGAACUAGGCAAAGUGGUACCGUAACUUCGGGAGAAGGUACGCCGCUGACGGUGAUGAGACUUGCUCUCUGAGCUAUCGGCGGUCGCAGUGAAAAGGCCCCUGCAACUGUUUAUUAAAAACACAGCACUCUGCAAACGCGUAAGCGGACGUAUAGGGUGUGACGCCUGCCCGGUGCCGGAAGGUUAAUUGAUGGGGUUAGCUUCGGCGAAGCUCUUGAUCGAAGCCCCGGUAAACGGCGGCCGUAACUAUAACGGUCCUAAGGUAGCGAAAUUCCUUGUCGGGU
rnacentral:rRNA from 1 species